AUUGAACGCUGGCGGAAUGCUUUACACAUGCAAGUCGAACGGCAGCACGGGUGCUUGCACCUGGUGGCGAGUGGCGAACGGGUGAGUAAUACAUCGGAACGUACCCAGUUAUGGGGGAUAACUAACCGAAAGGUUAGCUAAUACCGCAUACGCCCUGAGGGGGAAAGCGGGGGACCGUAAGGCCUCGCGUAAUUGGAGCGGCCGAUGUCUGAUUAGCUAGUUGGUGAGGUAAAGGCUCACCAAGGCGACGAUCAGUAGCAGGUCUGAGAGGAUGAUCUGCCACACUGGAACUGAGACACGGUCCAGACUCCUACGGGAGGCAGCAGUGGGGAAUUUUGGACAAUGGGCGAAAGCCUGAUCCAGCCAUUCCGCGUGCAGGAUGAAGGCCCUCGGGUUGUAAACUGCUUUUGUACAGAACGAAAAGGUUUCUACUAAUACUAGGAGCUCAUGACGGUACCGUAAGAAUAAGCACCGGCUAACUACGUGCCAGCCGCCGCCGUAA
rnacentral:rRNA from 1 species